rnacentral:lncRNA from 1 species
AAGAAUCCUAGAAGCAAGCCUCGGGUUAGAAGACUUGAUCCCGUAGGUACAACCUCGGAGUAGACACCGACAGGUCAGGCUUCCUCCGAUCUACACCUCCACUCUAUCUCUCCCAAUCUAGUAGAAACUAGAAGAUCUAAUUCUACUCACAUUGGAUGCUAAGCCUAAAAGAAAUGUUAUGUAGAGGAGAGGUAUUCCUUCGAGGGCUCCUCUCAACUCUAUGAAAAACUUGUCUCCUCCAGGGGCCAGGGGGUCUGGUUUUAUAGUCCCGUCAAGUGAACGUGAGCCAUUGGAUCAAACUGACAUUGAUUGGACGGUUAUCCUUGAUCCUUUAGGUCAGUGGAGAGUAAUCCCCGAAGAGAGUCCUGUUUGGACUCCAAGUCAGGUCGGGCGCCCAGGUCAACUGGGCGGGCCCAGUGCCUGGCCCCGUUCGGCCUCCGCUUCCUUCCCGUGGCUUCUGGAGUCUUCUAGAUGUAAGAUAAUUGCGCGGCACGUUAAUAUCUCUAUGUAAACCUGAUGUGUGGGCCUUUCCUCCAAAUUUCCUGAUAACCCCCUGCUGAAAUAGACAAACACCAAAACUCGUGGAAUUCUGUCAGAUAAAACCCUAAGUCUAGGUGUUGGUUGCAUUUGGAUCCUUUUCUUUAUUUAUUUGAUGAUUAUAUUUGGUACUUAAGUACCGUCAACAACUCCCCCAAGCUUACCUCUUGCUCGUCCCUGAGCAAGGAUGAACUUAAGAGUUUUUGCAGUGGUUUCAUGCCUUAAAAGUAAGAUCUCAUCUCUGAGUUAGAGUAAACUGUUAAGACUUAAACUUACUUAUUUUACCUUUCACCAUGGUGCUUGUAACCGUCACUUGUGUCUUGAGCAGUUAAAAGAUAGAACGGUCAAGUCAAGCGCCAUGUCUCUUAUUCUUGAUCAGCUAUAGCUCUGGAGUUUUUGUAGAUUUUCAAAUAAAACUCAGAGAUUCCUUGAAUAACUCUCUUAGAUCUCUUGUUUGUGGUAUUUCUGGAUCCUUACCAAGGCAGUAAUGGUAUAUGCCUUCUCUCAAAGUAUGUGGUAUUUGUGGUAUGAGGCAUAGUGAUAUUGCCUUCUCUCUCACCCUACUCUAAUAAGGUUUUGAUAUCUGGAGCUCAUAGGUGGGAGACAGCUAAUACAUACUUACAAGACAUUUAUUGCAUAGUCAAACCAUGGAUCCAGAGAAACAAGUCAAUAAGUCAAAUCAAGAUGUGCAUGUGUGGUGAGUGAAUGGUGUAUGGUGAUGAUGGUGAUAAUAAUGGUGAAAAUCUAAUUCUACUUUUUGCUCUUUUGAGGGGAUACAUACCUUUCUUGCACUUUGAAGCUUUUUGAGGAGAAUGAGAUGCUCUAUAUUUUCUUUUUCUUUCCUCUCAGGUGGGUAUCUUGUACCCCUAAUUCUACUGUCGGACACUUGUCCAUUUUUACCUCUCGUCUCACUUUUUCUUUUCUUCGAGGUUCUGGGCACUUGCCCCUUUUUAUUUCCUCGUAUUUUUUUCUUUUUCUCUCUUUUUUUCUAGAGCACUCAUCUCUUGAAAUAAUAUAGCAAGUGGUAGUAACCAAGAUAACUUGAGCAUUUAUUUCAUAGGGAAAAACAGAAAUGUUUUUGGCUAUUCUCUCUCGGAUUAGGAGUAGAAUACUUUUAGGUGAAUCUGGAGAUGGAAUUGAGUGGAUGUAUGUGGAUACGUACUUCCGGAGUAGAAGCAGCAUGUGUGAGUGAACGUGCAAGUGAAUCUUGAUUUUAACCGCAUGACAAGAUCCUAAGGGUCUACACAGCUUGACCACACUCAAUGCUCAUAAGCAGUAAAAGUAAAUAUGUGGCUCAAAGUCUAAUAAGCAUGUAUAUAUGGCUGUGGUAGGAUUUUAAACUCUCAUCAUACAGGAACUCAUCAUGUGUUAUUUUAAAGAUUUUUCAAAGAUAAAAUUCUCCAGAAUUCUAGCAUCUCUAGGAAUAGAUAAACAGUAGCUCAACUUUCCCAUAUCAUAUCCGUUAAUGACUUAGACUUUAGAUCAAGUACUCUUCCCACAAAGUUCAGGUUUAGAGCAGGUUUAAAUUAUAACAGUUGUGCCUAAACUUGAGAGAGAGAUUUCAAUUUUAAGAACUAGUCAUGGCAGAGCAACUAUUCAUCAUUUCCAUGAGAGCUUAUCAUAAGGGUUCAUAGAAAACUUUAUUUUUUUAAAAAACUAAGCAAAGAUAUAUAUAAAAGCACAAAAUCUUUAUUUGGGUUUUUUUUAUGAUUAUGCAUCUUUUUAUUAUUUUAGUAAAGUAUAAACGCGAGUAGAAACACUUAGCUGUAUAAAUGGAGGUGCUCUCCCCCAAGCUGGAUUUUGACGUAAUUUCUUCUGAUGUAGCUAGCAGGUGUCGGAGGUGUAUUUGAAUGUCGGCAGCACCCUGACAGCGAUUAGGAUGUCCUCCGUCUGCUAGUCUUCUUUGAUCCUUGAAUUCUGUGGAGCUCAAAUAGACAACAAAGCUUUGUGGAACUGGUUAAGUGUUAGCAUAAAAUCUCUUUGUCUUUAUCAUAUUGAGCUUCCUUCUAAUAAAUUUUAUUUAGCAGGAUCAUGCACUUAUUAUUUAUAUUUUUAUUGUAAGAUGAAAACAUAUUUAUUUUAUGUCACCACAGUGAAUGUACUUAUGGCUUUUAUGCCAUGAGCAUACUCACAUGGGGCUUACUAUUUUUAAUAUUUUUAUUUUCUUUUCGAGAUGAUAUGAACCUGAUUAACUAAGCAAACUAUUUUAAAUAAUUGAAGGGAAAAGGAUAACUACCAAGUUUACCUCUUGGCAAGGCGUUCGGUGUUUUUAAGUUCUCCGAACGGGAUUCUCCGUUUUCUUAGUCGUCCUGGGAUUCGCUGGAUGGCGUAGUCAGUGGUUCCGGCGCGCCUCCUCUUUGUGUAUAACUAUCUUUUCUCUCCACACCUGACUUGGUGCUAGGGUCUCCUCAGGACAGUUCUGUUUAAGCUGUAUGUCUUCAGACCUUAUCACUUCUCCUUCGUAGUCUACGCAUCCGUCCUUGAUAAUUUGCCUCAUCUGGUUUCGGUUGCGUCGUCUUCUUCUUGUCCUGACCUGCUUAGAGUCUUCAACUAUAUAGUUAAGGUCAGUAAAAUAGCAGCGUACCUUCUCAGAGGGGAAGUGCAUGUGGACUUCUCCGAUUCCAAUAUAGAUGAUGGCCUUGAUAGUGUUGAGGAACGGUCUUCCAAGGAUGGUGGGUGGAUCAUACUUGUCUUCUCCCAUGUUAAUGACCUGAAAAUCAUCUGGAGCUGAAUAUAUAUUGGAUGUAGGGGCAUGGUUCCAUGCAGGAGCUGAUAAGUGACUGCGGCCAUUAUGUUGUCGUCAGAUCCGGUGUCGUAGAGUGUCUUCUGAAAAGAGUAUCCGUUGAUUGUGCACACGAUGCUUGGAACACCAGGGUCGUCCUUCUUUAUCAGGAAAGGUGACUUCAGUCGACGAUCUUGACCUCCUUGAACUGCAGUGACCAUCUUAGCUGACUCGGUCCACAUUUGCUUGUUCCUGUUCCUCCUGUUGGUCCUCUUCCUUGGUUUAUGUCGGGAUUACUCUGAGAUUUGUGUAGUCUUGUUCUUGAAGAAAAACGUCCUUCCUCCCCUUGAUGUAGAGACUAAUCUUGGCAGCACUGGGGCAUACAAGAUACCAACUCGGACGCAGAGGUUCUUCAAUAUUCCCUUUGGGAAACUUUAGUGUCCGAUCUGCAACCUUGGGCAUAAUGUUGACGCUGGAGCCAAAGUCGCAGAGUGCUUCCGAGAAGUCCACCAUGCCGAUGGAGAUCGGGAUGACAAGACGUCUUGGAUCGCCUCUCUGAGUAGUUAGGCCUCUGUUGAUUCCAACCUUGAUUUUGUUGAGGACGGUUGUAGUAGUUGUUGUUGUUGAUGAUGUAGUUUACAUCCUCAAGCAUCUCAGGGCAGUGAUUGCCUGAGUAUCUAGUAUCUCCAAUGUGUUUGUGCUCGUAGAUCCAAGCCCUUCACUUGGUGGAGUCUGGGAGUUGUAAAACUCCUUCAGGUUUUGCUCGAAGUGGACCUACUCAUAGAGACAAGGCAGAGAUCAAGUGCGUGGGCCCUGUUGGUGAAAAACACCAACAGAACCAAAAGUGUAUUUAUUCUUCUCUAACCUUAAGCAUAGUGAGCAAGACAAUGUUGAUGGAUAAUAAGAUCAUGAGUGUAGCAUUUAAAACAUUUGUCAGAUCAGAUUGCUCAACCUUAUGGAAAGAUAAUCUAUCUAUGUAUAUGUCUUUUUCUUAUAUCUUCCAAAAGAUUGAAUGUGCAACAUUUUAGAUUAUAUGAUUAGGAGUGUAGGAUCAUGGAGGUAGUACUAAGAACAAAGAUUAAAGGACUAAACAUGUUGAAUUAAUUGGGUUGGUUAAUUUGGAGUUAUAAAUCAUACAUGUUUGUCUCUUUAUUUUAUGUGUAUGCCAGAACCAAGGAGAAGCUUAUGAAAGUGAUAGUCGCGUACCUUAAGAUGUUACCUUACUUGAAGAGUGAUGGUAUAGUAUCACCUUGUGGAAGCUUUCCUUUCCUAGCGGUUGUGCAUCGUGUUUGUGGCACCCUCCAUAGAUCAUCUCUUGUGAUGAAUGAGCCAUGUCUUCCUUGUGUAAAUCGUUAAAUUUCAUGUGUCUCCUUUAUCUCCAAUGAGUUUAUAUCUGAGGACUUCCCAGGUUGAUAUUGAAAGUUUUCCUACAGGGGUUAGUCCGACAAAAUAUACCAAUGCAUACUCAAGCAGUUUUUAGUUCAGUAACCAAACUAGACUCCAUGUCUAAUCAGAUUAAGGAAGGCUAUUUAACCUAAGCAGCACGCUUAAUUUAAAAGCCAAUAGAAGUAUGUACAGUACUUCCAAACUAACAGUUACUAGGAUAAACAAAGGUAGCAUGAUGGCUUAUAGAGAUCUACUUAAGUGGAGAUGAAGUAGUGUGAUUAGUAUUUAAUAAAUUGAGCAUGUCUCAAAGGUAAGGACAACCAACAUAGCAACAUAGCAAGAGAUGUUUUUAUGUAAAGUACUCCCCCAAGCUUGAAUUUUGCAAAAUUCAAGAUUAGAUGAAUUUAAUUUAAUGUUGCAUGAUGAUUGGUUGGGCAUACCUUGCGCUUGUCAUUCCUCGGAUCUUCUUGCUCUAAUCCUAAAAAGGUUAGUGACACGAAUACCUGAAGGAAUAUUUCUACAAUUAUCUUUAUAUGAUUAAUACAUAAGGUAAUGUUGCAAAUAAUUAAAAGUUCAUGUUACGAUCUGAUCAGUGCUUGUUUUAGGACACUAAGCUUUUCCUUGGGAAACCAUCAAUUUAUGUCAGCAAAGUGGUUUCCCUUCCAACGCUGACCUAUAUCAAGAUGAACUUACCGAGAUCUGCAAUAUUUAUUAUAGACAUAUGCAUCGACAACCGCCCUUUUAAAGUUUUGAUAAAUAGAAAGGAAGAGGGGUUGGAGAUCUCAAAUGUGGUAAGGUUGGAAAGACCAAUUGAUUGGGGAGGUGUUUUAUAUGAGCAAGGACUUGGUGAGGUAUUUAUGAAAUAACUUCCAUGCUCACUGUUGUUUCUCUCAUUCUCAAACUCCAAGGAUGAUUCUUCAUAAAUGCUUAAAAUUCCUCUCGGAUUAUGUCUCAAGUUUGUUUUAUCUAUCCAUUCAAUGGUGAUAGCACAUGGAUUUUUAAUGCUCUCUAGCCAUUGAUGUUCCUCUUCUCGAUCCUCCUUGUGGUCUUGGUGACUCUUAUGCAUGGGAUGUCAAGAGAGAUUCAUAGGAUCAUCGGGAGGUUCAAGAGAAAGAGAAGAGUAGAAAUUAUUAAGCUCAAGGAUGGGUUGGAUAGCCGAAUCAUGGGAUUCAAAUGUUAAUAAAUUGGCUAUUGAAACUUCCUUUCCUUGUUUGGGAGAUGAUUCCUUCUCUAUCUCUAGGAAUUUUUUAUGAACACUAGUGCAAGAAGGAUCUCUACGAAUGAAGACAUACCUUCCUUUACUAAUAGAUAAAGAAAGGAAGACUCUACCAAAGGUUAUAUGAUUAAGACCAACGUGAAAAUAUCGAGAAAAAACAUGGUCUUGUAGGGCUAGGUUUAAACUAGAGUUUAUAGAAAGAUUAACAGAUUCCCUAGGUGUAGCUAAAAGUUCAUUAUCUUCUUGAUUAAAAGAUAGGACCUCAGCUAUAGAAAAGGGUUGGUUUUGACCUAUUGCAAUCAACUCCGGACACAGAUCAUAAUUAGGGGCAGGACUUGUUGACUCCCAUGGUCUAUGGCUGGUCUCCGAAGGUGCAAAGAAUUCAAUAAUAGGUAUGGAAUUUAAGUUAUCCAUAAAGAUAAAAUAAAGAGAUAAAAGAAUAAAAGUAUAAAAGUAUAAUACAAGAUAAUAUCAAGAUUCAAAGUUAUCUCAGCAAACCGUCUUUCUCCCCGGCAACGGCGCCAGAAAUGCUUGUUGAUAUUUGGUAACGCAAUAAGGAAAUUAUCCGCAAGCGCACGGAUAUCGGUGAGCAUUUCACCCGGGAGGUUAUCCAGAGUAUCGUAUUUAUAUUUUUACCACUGGGAGAAAGGGUGCAUCUGACUAACCAAAUCUAUUGCUACUAUCCCUUUCGGCUAUAAAGAAUGUUUCUCGAUGUGAGUGAUGUAUAGAGAAGACUGCAACCGUAGUCUCGUUCUAACCUUGGUAAGGAUGAUCUACUGUUCUAAUGGUGAGGCUCAUCGAAUCUAGACACCACAAAGGAUGUUCGACACGCACCUAUAAACCCUACCCGUCCUGCUAACAAGAUAUGGGAUACAAAGGUAACUCAGAAAUGUCACGUUCCUCGCUACUACCACGGUCCAGCUAGUCAGGGGAUAUCUAUGAGUACCCUAGCCUAAACACCACGUUUACGCUAGCAAUGAUUAAUCUAUUACUCAACCGGAAGAGAUUAAAGUAAACUCAUAAACCAAAGAACAAUAAAGCAAGAACUUACUAGAAUUAGAAGUCAAAUUACUGAAGAAUCCUAGAAGCAAGCCUCGGGUUAGAAGACUUGAUCCUGCAGGUACAACCUCGGAGGAGACACCGAUAGGCUGGGCUUCCUCCGAUCUACACCUCCACUCUAUCUCUCUCAAUCUAGUAGAAACUAGAAGAUCUAAUUCUACUCACAUUGGAUGCUAAGCCUAAAAGAAAUUUUAUUUAGAGGAGAGGUAUUCCUUUGAGGGCUCCUCUCAACUCUAUGAAAAACUUGUCUCCUCCAGGGGCCAGGGGGUCUGGUUUUAUAGUCCCCUCAAGUGAACGUGAGCCAUUGGAUCAAACCGACAUUGAUUGGACGGUUAUCCUUGAUCCUUUAGGUCAGUGGAGAGUAAUCCCCGAAGAGAGUCCUGU